rnacentral:miRNA from 1 species
ACGUGCGUCUGCUCGGGCACCUUC